UCUAACCCACUGACAUGUAACGCUAACUCACAACCCCCAAUCAUAGCCCCACGGAAUCGGUUUCCCAAAACCGAUUACCGAACAUGCCGGAAGUCCCGAAAACCUCACCGGAACUUCACUGUCGCUCACCCGUCAUUUUCGAACCUUCAAAACGAUGGGGGUAACCAGCCAACAAGGCUCAGCGACGUCGCAAAUAAUCACCAAGUACCGUCGGAAGAAUUCUGAACCGAAACAGCGUUCUAUCAGCGGAUUUCGCCGAGAAACGCAUCGGAAAUCACUUUUCGAUUUCCGCAAGGGUUUGGGG
rnacentral:lncRNA from 1 species